rnacentral:rRNA from 1 species
AGUUCGGAUUGUAGUCUGCAACUCGACUACAUGAAGCUGGAAUCGCUAGUAAUCGCGAAUCAGAAUGUCGCGGUGAAUACGUUCCCGGGUCUUGUACACACCGCCCGUCACACCAUGGGAGUUGGGAAUGCCCGAAGUCCGUAGUCUAACCGCAAGGGGGCGCGGCCGAAGGUGGGUCCGGUAAUUGGGGUGAAGUCGUAACAAGGUACC